GAUGAACGCUGGCGGCGUGCCUAAUACAUGCAAGUCGAGCGAACGGACGAGAAGCUUGCUUCUCUGAUGUUAGCGGCGGACGGGUGAGUAACACGUGGAUAACCUACCUAUAAGACUGGGAUAACUUCGGGAAACCGGAGCUAAUACCGGAUAAUAUUUUGAACCGCAUGGUUCAAAAGUGAAAGACGGUCUUGCUGUCACUUAUAGAUGGAUCCGCGCUGCAUUAGCUAGUUGGUAAGGUAACGGCUUACCAAGGCAACGAUGCAUAGCCGACCUGAGAGGGUGAGCGGCCACACGGGAACUGCGACACGGUCCAGACGCAUACGGGAGGCAGCAGUAGGGAAUCGUCCGCAAUGGGCGAAAGCCUGACAGAGCAACGCCGAGGGAGUGAUGAAGGUCUUCGGAUCGUAAAACUCUGUUAUGAGGGGAGAACAAAUGUGUAAGUAACUGUGCACAUCUUGACGGUACCUAAUCAGAAAGCCACGGCUAACUACGUG
rnacentral:rRNA from 1 species